AAUAUAAAUUAUGAAAACAUAAAAUUAUGGCGGUACUUUAAGCUUUUCAGAGGAAUUUGCUCUUUAAUGGAUAAAACACCUAAAUCUUACUGGAAUUAGUAAAGGCAGUUUGUAUACCACUAUAAAAGUAGUUAGUUACUGUUAUUACUUUAAAUUUUAAAUAAAAAAUAAAUUAAGUCAUGGUGCAGCAUAAAUUUCAGGUUGAAGUGAAUUACAUUACUUUUAAGUAAAAAUUAAUUAAAUAAAUUUUAGGAUUGUAGUAAAUUUCAAUAAAAGGAAUUUGAUCACGGUUGUGCGA
rnacentral:rRNA from 1 species